UACGUAGGUGGCAAGCGUUGUCCGGAUUUAUUGGGUUUAAAGGGUGCGUAGGUGGUCUAUUAAGUCAGUGCUGAAAUAUCCCGGCUUAACCGGGAGGGUGGCAUUGAUACUGAUGGACUUGAGUAAAGUUGAGGUAGGCGGAAUUGACGGUGUAGCGGUGAAAUGCUUAGAUAUCGUCAAGAACACCUAUAGCGAAGGCAGCUUACUAAGCUUUAACUGACACUGAGGCACGAAAGUGUGGGGAUCAAACAGG
rnacentral:rRNA from 1 species